CCCGGCGGGCCCCGCGCGCGGCUGCGUUUGAAUGGCCCUGAGUGGGGCUCGGCCCGGGAGCCCGGGGACUCUCUAGGCUUCCGGGCGCAGUUGGUCAGCGCCAGGGCUCGACUGAGGCGCCGCGGUACGAUGAGGCGCCGGUAUUUAAGAGAUUAUGGCAUCUGAAACCCACAAUGUUAAAAAACGGAACUUUUAUAAUAAUAUUGAGGAUCAUUCCAUUGAUCGUCCUAGAAAAAGGAUCUCUAAUUUCACUAAUAAGAACAUGAAGGAGGUUAAGAAAUCUCCAAAACAUUUGGCUGCUUACAUAAAUGGAACAGUUGGACACGCUGUUAAAAGCCCAGAUAAACUACGUAAGGUGAUCUACCACAGAAAGAAAGUUCAUUAUCCUUUUCCAAAUUCUUGUUUUAAAAAGAAACAGUCCCCUAGAAGUGGGGGCUGUGACAUGGCAAAUAAAGAAAAUGAACUGGCUUGUGCAGGCCACCCGCCUGAAAAAUUACACCAUGAUAGUCGAACAUAUUUGCUUAACUCCAGUGAUUGUGGUUCUUCACAGACAGAAAGCGCAUCAUCAAAAUACAGUGGUUUUUUUUCUGAGGUUUCUCAGGAUCAUGAAACAAUGGCACAAGUUUUGUUCAGCAGGAAUUUGAGAUUGAAUGUAGCUUUAACUUUCUGGAAAAAGAGAAGUAUAAGUGAACUUGUAGCUUAUUUGGUGAGGAUAGAAGACCUUGGAGUGGUGGUAGAUUGCCUUCCUGUGCUUACCAAUAGUUUACAGGAAGAAAAACAAUACAUCUCACUCGGCUGCUGUGUAGACUUGUUGCCCCUUGUAAAGUCACUACUUAAAAGCAAAUUUGAAGAAUAUAUAAUAGUUGGUUUAAACUGGCUUCAAGCAGUCAUAAAAAGGUGGUGGUCAGAACUCUCGUCCAAAACAGAAAUUAUAAAUGAUGGAAAUAUUCAGAUUUUAAAACAACAAUUAAGCAGAUUGUGGGAACAAGAAAACCAUCUUACUUUGGUUCCAGGAUAUACUGCUAACAUAGCUAAGGAUGUAGAUGCUUAUUUAUUACAGUUGCAUUGAAAGACUUCAUCUACUAAAGAGCAUUUGGUUAUUCAAAACAUCCCUGGACUAUAUGAUUUCCAAACAAGUCUCAUUGGAGAACUGUGAACUAUGAAAGAAAUCAAAACCAUUUUCUUCUAAAGCCACAUAUGAAACCAAUAACAAAACCCUAGCAAUCUACUUCACAUUGAAGUGGAAAAAUAUCCGAAAGGAGCAGCUUCAACUUAAUAAGGUGAAAGUGCACUAUGAAGAUUGUUCACCUUUGCUGCUUUUGGGAUUUACAUGAUUACUUGGCAAGAACUACUGGAUCUUAAUGCAAUCCUUCAUAAGAAUAUACUUUAUACUAUGUGAAAAAAUAAGACAAAACUUAUUACUAGGAAAAGCAAAGACCAAUCAUUACUUUUUUUAAGAUUGUGUUUUAUAAGAAAACACUCAAAUGUGUGCAGCUAUUUUCUUAUGUUGAAAGACUUUAAAAGUUUUAAACAUCCUAGCAAAUAAUUAAUACUAAAAGUUUUUUUGUCCACACUGAAAUACUGUGUAAACAAAAUGCCUUAAUUAUUAAUAAGCCAAUGUAUAUGAUACCAAGAUCUGUUUUUAAAAAAAGUAAAACCAACCAUGCUUCUGGCAUGAAAGUUAUGGAAUUAAAUCAGGGGUUUCCAUUCAUGUGGAAUAUUGUUAAAACUUAUUCCACACCAUCUUUAAAACUUGAGAAUAUGUUUAAUAUCUCUGAAAUCGUUUUGCCAGAAUCGUCAUGUCAUGUAUGUAUGUGUUAUUCUUAUAUAAAAGAAAGAGGUGAAUAU